ACAAUAAUCACCAAGGAAAUCUCUUUGGUUUUUAAAAAUAAAUAAACAUAUAUUCAUAAAACUCAAAAAACAGUUCUACUUAUACUGAACGUUGAGAUGGCAGAAACUUUCAGAAGCAAAAAUUAAGCAUAUUGAAAGGAUCCCAUUCAUAUGAAACUAACAGGCUGUUUUCCGUUUAAACUCAACUGUGAGUGCUUCUGUUCAGAACACGUUAUUUCAUGACUAGGAUAAAGAAGCAAAUGGUUUAUGACUUGUCUGCUUUCUGGUAGUUAGAAUACAAGGGUCAAUCUAUGGCUAGUGUUCAUUGGUAAUUUUAAAAUCUUUAAAAAUAAGUAGCUGGGCACAGUGGCCUGUAAUCCCAGCACUUUGGGAGGCUGAGGCAGGAGAAUCGCUUGAGCCCGGGACGGAGGUUGCAGUGAGCGGAGAUCACGCCACUGCACUACAGCCUGGGUGGCAGAGCGAGACUCUGUCUCAUAAAACAAAACAAAAAAAUAAAAAUAAGU
rnacentral:sRNA from 1 species